UUUGGCUUUCAGCCUUACUGAACUUGUUUUUCCUGCUGUGUUUCUGUAAACAACUCUCAGCAUCGAAGUCCAGCCUACAGCUGGAUCAAUCUGUUCCUUCAAAAGUAAGCCACCCGUCUAUAUCUGGAAUGGCUAAGUAUUUGUCUGGAAACGUGCUGCAAGUGCUAGAAGCCAGGAUGUAAGGAGGUGUAGUUUUGUUUCUGACAGAUUUGUUGUGCAGCCUGGUGGGUAACGGCUAGAAAUAACUAAUGUCAGCUGUGAAUACUAGAGGAAAGGUCAAGAAUAUGAAGGUAAUGCAAGUGUGGAUAGAUUUGACCCUCCCUGGGAACACAGGGGGAGACUCCCCCACACUACCCACACAUGACCGACACGGCUACAACCUACACCCUGUAACAUGGAAGAUAUUAAAUUCUGCCACUUGAAAUGGAAACUGUACAACAUGAAAAAGAAGCUAAACUCAAGAGACAUAUAUUUUCUAAGCCUAUGCAAGAAACACAACUUUGUUCCCAGAGGAUUAAACAUCCACAAUCCUCUGAUUACUGCACACAACUCCAAGUAUGCUUCACCGCUAUGCAGGAAAACUUCAGAGAAAAUUAGAAAUCAUCUUCUUCACCUAAUCUACUCCAAAAGAGACCAGCUCAGAAAGGAAAUCACCACCUGCUACAACUUAAAAGGGAAAAAUCCAGAUAUCUUCCCUAAUAUUAUACAAUGGACACAAAGAGACUACAGAAAUUUUUCUACAACAGUCAUCCAACAUAAAAAGCAGAAAUGGAACAAAUUACUCCAGGAGCACCUUUCCCAGCCACAAAACAACCAUCAGAGGAGCAACACCAACACCGUACAACAUUCCAAUCUCAGACUUGAUGAAACUGAAAGCAGCAACCAACCCUCAAAUAUCAUCAAUCUCUCCACACACACGCUUACCAAAACUGAAAAAUCUGUCCUUUCUA